rnacentral:tRNA from 1 species
UCUCUGGAGGACUAAUGGUUAGGCCUCGGAGCUCUCACCGAUGUGGCCCUGGUUCGACUCCUGGCCAGAGAA